GUGAGGAAUAUUGCGCAAUGGAGGCAACUCUGACGCAGCCAUGCCGCGUGCAGGAAGAAGGCGCUACGCGUUGUAAACUGCUUUUAACCGGGAAGAAACCCCAGGACGUGUCCUGGGUUGACGGUACCGGAGGAAUAAGCACCGGCUAACUUCGUGCCAGCAGCCGCGGUAAUACGAAGGGUGCAAGCGUUAUCCGGAUUCAUUGGGUUUAAAGGGUGCGUAGGCGGAGCGUUAAGUCAGUGGUGAAAUCCUGCAGCUUAACUGUAGACUUGCCAUUGAUACUGGCGCUCUUGAGUGCGCUUGAAGUGGGCGGAAUGUGCCGUGUAGCGGUGAAAUGCUUAGAUAUGGCACAGAACACCAAUUGCGAAGGCAGCUCACUAAGGCGAUACUGACGCUGAGGCACGAAAGCGUGGGGAUCGAACAGGAUUAGAUACCCAUGUAGUCC
rnacentral:rRNA from 1 species